AGCAGCCGCGGUAAUUCCAGCUCCAAUAGCGUAUAUUAAAGUUGUUGCAGUUAAAAAGCUCGUAGUUGAAUUUCGGGAUCAAUAUUUCGGUCAUGCCGUUGGUAUGCACUGUUAUCAUUGAUUUCUCACCUUCUAAAGAACCGUAAUGCCAUUAAUUUGGUGUUACGGGGAAUUAGGACUGUUACCUUGAAAAAUUAGAGUGUUUAAAGCAGGCUCACGCUUGAAUACAUUAGCAUGGAAUAAUGAAAUAGGACAUCCGAUUCUAUUUUGUUGGUUUCUAGGAUCGAUGUAAUGAUUAAUAGGGAUAGUUGGGGGCAUUAGUAUUCAAUUGUCAGAGGUGAAAUUCUUGAAUUUAUUGAAGACUAACUACUGCGAAAGCAUUUGCCAAGGAUGUUUUCAUUAAUCAAGAACGAAAGUUAGGGGAUCGAAGACGAUCAGAUACCGUCGUAG
rnacentral:rRNA from 1 species